GAUAAACGCUGGCGGCGUGCAUAACACAUGCAAGUCGAACGAUGAAACUUAGAUGAUUUCUUCGGAAUGAACUUAAGUGGAUUAGUGGCGAACGGGUGAGUAACACGUGAGUAACCUGCCUUACACAAGGGGAUAGCCUCUGGAAACGGAGAAUAAUACCCUAUAAAGUCUAAUCAGCACAUGCUGGAAAGACCAAAGAUUUAUCGGUGUAAGAUGGACUUGCGUCUGAUUAGCUAGUUGGUGAGAUAAAAGCUCACCAAGGCGACGAUCAGUAGCCGGCUUGAGAGAGUGUACGGCCACAUUGGGACUGAGACACGGCCCAAACUCCUACGGGAGGCAGCAGUGGGGAAUUUUGCACAAUGGGGGAAACCCUGAUGCAGCGACGCCGCGUGAUUUAGAAGGCCUUCGGGUUGUAAAAAUCUUUUUUACGGGAUGAAAAUGACAGUACCGUAAGAAUAAGGUCCGGCUAAAUACGUGCCAGCCGCCGCGGUAA
rnacentral:rRNA from 1 species